GAUGAACGCUGGCGGCGUGCCUAAUACAUGCCAGUCGAGCGAACAGACGAGGAGCUUGCUCCUCUGACGUUAGCGGCGGACGGGUGAGUAACACGUGGAUAACCUACCUAUAAGACUGGGAUAACUUCGGGAAACCGGAGCUAAUACCGGAUAAUAUAUUGAACCGCAUGGUUCAAUAGUGAAAGACGGUUUUGCUGUCACUUAUAGAUGGAUCCGCGCCGCAUUAGCUAGUUGGUAAGGUAACGGCUUACCAAGGCAACGAUGCGUAGCCGACCUGAGAGGGUGAACGGCCACACUGGAACUGAGACACGGUCCAGACUCCUACGGGAGGCAGCAGUAGGGAAUCUUCCGCAAUGGGCGAAAGCCUGACGGAGCAACGCCGCGUGAGUGACGAAGGUCUUCGGAUCGUAAAACUCUGUUAUUAGGGAAGAACAAAUGUGUAAGUAACUAUGCACGUCUUGACGGUACCUAAUCAGAAAGCCACGGCUAACUACGUG
rnacentral:rRNA from 1 species